rnacentral:lncRNA from 10 species
CCAGCCACAAGAGGAUGCUCUUUCUAGAAGACGGUGCAGAAAUACCAGACGUCCCCUGGGAGGGGCUCCAGGUGAUCACUGCAGCCUGAAGGAGGACGCUCGCCUUCCACUGUCCACAGCCCCCAGGUGGGAAGGCCUUUUGGGGGCGGUCAGGCCACCUGCAGGAACAGAGUUCGAACCUUGUUCUAGAACGCGUCAUGGAAGUCAGCCUCCCUCCCCACCCUGGUUUCAGAUGUAGAAACUGAAACCCAGCUUGGGGACCGCCUUCCUGAGGACACAACGCUGGAAGAGUGUGUGAUGUCACGCCAGCCUCAGGGGAGGGUGCCGGCAGUCUUGCCCGGGCCACCAGCAACAGUGGCUCUCGAGGAAGGACCCGGAAGUUGGCCCGCAAAGCUGGCCCCAACCCACUCUGAUCUGUGGUCCCCUCCAUGGUUGCAGGAAGAGUGGUCUCUUUUGUCUUGGCUUACGAUCGUCCAGUCGGGUUCUACUGCCGGCCGCGGUGGCUCACGCCUGUAAUCCCAACACUUUGGGAGGCUGAGGUGGGUGGAUCACGUGAGGUCAGGAGCUCAAGACCAGCCUGGCCAACAUGAUGAAACCCCAUCUCUACCCAAAAUACAAAAAUUAGCUGGACGUGGUGCCACACGCCUGUAACCCCAGCUACCUGGGAGGCUGAGGAAGGAGAAUCACUUGAACCCAGGAGACGGAGGUUGCAGUGAGCCAAGAUCACGCCAUUGCACUGCAGCCUGGGUGACAGAACAAGACUACGUCUCAAAAAAAGAAAAAAGAAAGAAAAAAAAGAAAAUAGUUCUGCUGUGAAAAUGACUGUUUGCAUUACCAAGAAGAGAUUUCAAAGUUAUCUUAAAAUGUUCCUGUUCCCAAGAAGCAGUAUAUAGUAAUAAAGACAUAUAUUCACCAAGAAUAACAUGUCCAGAAAGACAAGUUCUUAAAAACAGAAUGAGUGACAGUGGGCACACCAUGAGACUUAGUCACCUCCAAGAAGGACCUGGGUAGGAAAGGAGGGGCUGGGAGGGAAACUGCACCCCUUCAUUCCCACCCCACCCCAGCAAUUCCAGGCACAAACAGUUGAGCUCUGAGACAGAUGAAAGCUUUUCAGUUCUCAGAAGUCCAAAGGGCUGACCCACUUUGCCGGUUUGCAUGGUUUGCCUGGAGUGGCAUUAAGGCCGGCUUCUUUACAGUGUGUCUGAAAUACAAU